AUUGAACGCUGGCGGCAUGCUUUACACAUGCAAGUCGAACGGCAGCGCGGGCUUCGGCCUGGCGGCGAGUGGCGAACGGGUGAGUAAUGCAUCGGAACGUGCCGAGUAGUGGGGGAUAGCCCGGCGAAAGCCGGAUUAAUACCGCAUACGACCUGAUGGUGAAAGCGGGGGACCGAAAGACCUUUCGCGCUUUUAGGGGUCGACGUCGGAUUAGCUAGUUGGUGGGUUAAAGGGUUACCAAGGCGACGAUUCGUAGCUGGUCUGCUAGGACGAGGAGCCACACUGGGACUGAGACACGGCCCAGACGCCUACGGGAGGCAGCAGUGGGGAAUUUUGGACAAUGGGGGCAAACCUGAUCCAGCCAUGCCGCGUGCGGGAAGAAGGCCUUCGGGUUGUAAACCGCUUUUGUUCGGGAAGAAAUCCUCUGGGCUAAUACCCCGGGGGAAUGACGGUACCGGAAGAAUAAGCACCGGCUAACUACGUG
rnacentral:rRNA from 1 species